UCUUUCUUUUGUUUUUUCAUUGAACCCAUCCUUCUGCAGAACAGUAUCUCUUUGAAUAAGAAUAAAUCUGGCCAGGCACAGUGGCUCAUGCCUGUAAUCCCUGCGCUUUGGGAAGCUGAGGUAGGAGGAUCACUUGAGGCCAACAGUUCAAGACCACCUGAGCAACAUAGCAAGACCGCAUUUCUACAGAAAAAUAAAUAAAUAAAAAGAAGAAGAAAUCUGCCUGAAUACACUUCUUAAGAAUGGCAAAAAAAACAACUACAUAAGAAUACAAAGAGAUGCCAAUAUAAG